CCUACGGGUGGCAGCAGUGAGGAAUAUUGGUCAAUGGUCGGGAGACUGAACCAGCCAAGCCGCGUGAGGGAUGAAGGUACAGAGUAUCGUAAACCUCUUUUGUCAGGGAACAAAGGCGGGGACGUGUCCCCGGAUGAGUGUACCUGAAGAAAAAGCAUCGGCUAACUCCGUGCCAGCAGCCGCGGUAAUACGGAGGAUGCGAGCGUUAUCCGGAUUUAUUGGGUUUAAAGGGUGCGAAGGCGGUCUGUUAAGUCAGCGGUCAAAGGCGGAGGCUCAACCCCGGCCCGCCGUUGAAACUGGCAGUCUCGAGUUGGAGAGAGGUAUGCGGAAUGCGCGGUGUAGCGGUGAAAUGCAUAGAUAUCGCGCAGAACUCCGAUUGCGAAGGCAGCAUGCUGGCUCCACACUGACGCUGAGGCACGAAAGCGUGGGUAUCGAACAGGAUUAGAUACCCGGGUAGUC
rnacentral:rRNA from 1 species